rnacentral:rRNA from 1 species
GAUGAACGCUGACAGAAUGCUUAACACAUGCAAGUCUUUGGCGAAGCUGUGCUUGCACCGCCUAGCCAAGGCGGACGGGUGAGUAACGCGUAAGGAACUUGCCCUGCAGUCAGGGAUAACAGACGGAAACGACUGAUAAGACCUGGUAAAGUCAGGCGGACUCAUGUCCAGCCUGAUGAAAAGAGAUGCUGCAGGAGAGCCUUGCGUCCUAUUAGCUUGUUGGUGGGGUAACGGCCCACCAAGGCGAUGAUAGGUAGCCGGCCUGAGGGUGGACGGCCACAAGGGGACUGAGAUACGGCCCUUACUCCUACGGGAGGCAGCAGUGGGGAAUAUUGGACAAUGGGGGCAACCCUGAUCCAGCAAUUCUGUGUGCACGAUGAAGGUUUUCGGAUUGUAAAGUGCUUUCAGCAGGGAAGAAAAAAAUGACGGUACCUGCAGAAGAAGCGACGGCUAAAUACGUG